GCCUGGGUGGCUCAGUCGGUUAAGCGUCUGACUUCAGCUCAGGUCAUGAUCUCACGGUCCGUGAGUUCGAGCCCCGCGUCAGGCU
rnacentral:tRNA from 1 species